rnacentral:rRNA from 1 species
UGUGUGAUGAAGGCCCUAGGGUCGUAAAGCACUUUCGCCAGAGAUGAUAAUGACAGUAUCUGGUAAAGAAACCCCGGCUAACUCCGUGCCAGCAGCCGCGGUAAUACGGAGGGGGUUAGCGUUGUUCGGAAUUACUGGGCGUAAAGCGCACGUAGGCGGAUUAGUAAGUUAGAGGUGAAAUCCCAGGGCUCAACCCUGGAACUGCCUUUAAUACUGCUAGUCUUGAGUUCGAGAGAGGUAAGUGGAAUUCCGAGUGUAGAGGUGAAAUUCGUAGAUAUUCGGAGGAACACCAGUGGCGAAGGCGGCUUACUGGCUCGAUACUGACGCUGAGGUGCGAAAGUGUGGGGAGCAAACAGGAUUAGAUACCCUGGUAGUCCACACCGUAAACGAUGAAUGCCAGACGUCAGCAAGUAUACUUGUUGGUGUCACACCUAACGGAUUAAGCAUUCCGCCUGGGGAGUACGGUCGCAAGAUUAAAACUCAAAUGAAUUGACGG